CACCUCAUGAACUUCAUCAAGUUCAAUUUUACAGGCAUUAGCUCUUUUACCAAGGAACUCAUUUUUCAAAAAGACUGUCUGGUUGCUGACAAACACUUUUUAUUCUGCAGUGAGGUAGAAGUAGUACCCUUUAAUUUUUUUUGGAUACCCUAUGAGCAAGCAUCUAUCGGACUUCAGUCCAAGCUUAUCUGUCUUUAAACACUUGACAUAAGCUGGACACCCUCA
rnacentral:lncRNA from 1 species